rnacentral:rRNA from 1 species
UGGGGAAUUUUGGACAAUGGGCGAAAGCCUGAUCCAGCAAUGCCGCGUGUGUGAAGAAGGCCUUCGGGUUGUAAAGCACUUUUGUCCGGAAAGAAAUCCUUGGCUCUAAUACAGUCGGGGGAUGACGGUACCGGAAGAAUAAGCACCGGCUAACUACGUGCCAGCAGCCGCGGUAAUACGUAGGGUGCAAGCGUUAAUCGGAAUUACUGGGCGUAAAGCGUGCGCAGGCGGUUUGCUAAGACCGAUGUGAAAUCCCCGGGCUCAACCUGGGAACUGCAUUGGUGACUGGCAGGCUAGAGUAUGGCAGAGGGGGGUAGAAUUCCACGUGUAGCAGUGAAAUGCGUAGAGAUGUGGAGGAAUACCGAUGGCGAAGGCAGCCCCCUGGGCCAAUACUGACGCUCAUGCACGAAAGCGUGGGGAGCAAACAGGAUUAGAUACCCUGGUAGUCCACGCCCUAAAACGAUGUCAACUAGUUGUUGGGGAUUCAUUUCCUUAGUAACGUAGCUAACGCGUGAAGUUGACCGCCUGGGGGAGUACGGUCGCAAGAUUAAAACUCAAAUGAAUUGACGGGGUCAUAGCU